rnacentral:rRNA from 1 species
UACGAAGGGGGCUAGCGUUGCUCGGAAUCACUGGGCGUAAAGGGUGCGUAGGCGGGUCUUUAAGUCAGGGGUGAAAUCCUGGAGCUCAACUCCAGAACUGCCUUUGAUACUGAGGAUCUUGAGUUCGGGAGAGGUGAGUGGAACUGCGAGUGUAGAGGUGAAAUUCGUAGAUAUUCGUCAAGAACACCAGCGGCGAAGGCGGCGCUCUGGGCCGGAACUGACGCUGAGGAGCGAAAGCGUGGGUAGCAAACAGG